rnacentral:rRNA from 1 species
UGGAAACUGUNUGACUUGAGUGCAGAAGGGGAGAGUGGAAUUCCAUGUGUAGCGGUGAAAUGCGUAGAUAUAUGGAGGANCACCAGUGGCGAAAGCGGCUCUCUGGUCUGUCACUGACGCUGAGGCUCGAAAGCGUGGGUAGCGAACAGGAUUAGAUACCCUGGUAGUCCACGCCGUAAACGAUGAGUGCUAGGUGUUAGGCCCUUUCCGGGGCUUAGUGCCGGAGCUAACGCAAUAAGCACUCCGCCUGGGGAGUACGACCGCAAGGUUGAAACUCAAAGGAAUUGACGGGGGCCCGCACAAGCGGUGGAGCAUGUGGUUUAAUUCGAAGCAACGCGAAGAACCUUACCAGGUCUUGACAUCCCGAUGCUAUUCUUAGAGAUAGGAAGUUACUUCGGUACAUCGGAGACAGGUGGUGCAUGGUUGUCGUCAGCUCGUGUCGUGAGAUGUUGGGUUAAGUCCCGCAACGAGCGCAACCCUUAUUGUUAGUUGCCAUCAUUAAGUUGGGCACUCUAGCGAGACUGCCGGUAAUAAACCGGAGGAAGGUGGGGAUGACGUCAAAUCAUCAUGCCCCUUAUGACCUGGGCUACACACGUGCUACAAUGGUCGGUACAACGAGUUGCGAGCCGGUGACGGCAAGCUAAUCUCUGAAAGCCGAUCUCAGUUCGGAUUGGAGGCUGCAACUCGCCUCCAUGAAGUCGGAAUCGCUAGUAAUCGCGGAUCAGCACGCCGCGGUGAAUACGUUCCCGGGCCUUGUACACACCGCCCGUCACACCACGAGAGUUUGUAACACCCGAAGUCGGUGAGGUAACCUUUUAGGGGC